rnacentral:rRNA from 1 species
ACUCUAAGCGGUGGAUCACUCGGCUCAUGGGUCGAUGAAGAACGCAGCAAACUGUGCGUCAUCGUGUGAACUGCAGGACACAUGAACAUCGACAUUUUGAACGCAUAUCGCAGUCCAUUGCUGUUAUGUACUUUAAUUAAUUUUAUAGUGCUGCUUGGACUACAUAUGGUUGAGGGUUGUAAGACUAUGCUAAUUAAGUUGCUUAUAAAUUUUUAUAAGCAUAUGGUAUAUUAUUGGAUAAAUAUAAUAAUUUUUAUUCAUAAUAUUAAAAAAUAAAUGAAAAACAUUAUCUCACAUUUGAAUGUGAAAAACGAAGAGAAAUAUUUUCUUUUUCAAUCAAAUAAUACUGAGAAAUGUCUAGCAUAAAAAAUUGAAAUAUUUUUCAUCUAGAAUUGUCUCUUAUUAAUGAUUCGGAAAUAGAAAAAUCUUGGUUAUGUUAUUAUUCUUCGUUGGUUCGUUAAAAAUGGAUAAAUAAAAACUUUGCAUACAAGAAUUAAUAAAAAUGUUAUAACGAAUUUAAUUAAAUGUUUUAUCAUUAUAUAUAAAGAAUUUAUGGCAAGAUAAAGUUAUAUACAACCUCAACUCAUAUGGGACUACCCCCUGAAUUUAAGCAUAUUAAUUAGGGGAGGAAAAGAAACUAACAAGGAUUUUCUUAGUAGCGGCGAGCGAAAAGAAAACAGUUCAGCACUAAGUCACUUUGUCUAUAUGGCAAAUGUGAGAUGCAGUGUAUGGAGCGUCAAUAUUCUAGUAUGAGAAAUUAACGAUUUAAGUCCUUCUUAAAUGAGGCCAUUUACCCAUAGAGGGUGCCAGGCCCGUAUAACGUUAAUGAUUACUAGAUGAUGUUUCCAAAGAGUCGUGUUGCUUGAUAGUGCAGCACUAAGUGGGUGGUAAACUCCAUCUAAAACUAAAUAUAACCAUGAGACCGAUAGUAAACAAGUACCGUGAGGGAAAGUUGAAAAGAACUCUGAAUAGAGAGUUAAACAGUACGUGAAACUGCUUAGAGGUUAAGCCCGAUGAACCUGAAUAUCCGUUAUGGAAAAUUCAUCAUUAAAAUUGUAAUAUUUAAAUAAUAUUAUGAGAAUAGUGUGCAUUUUUUCCAUAUAAGGACAUUGUAAUCUAUUAGCAUAUACCAAAUUUAUCAUAAAAUAUAACUUAUAGUUUAUUCCAAUUAAAUUGCUUGCAUUUUAACACAGAAUAAAUGUUAUUAAUUUGAUAAAGUGCUGAUAGAUUUAUAUGAUUACAGUGCGUUAAUUUUUCGGAAUUAUAUAAUGGCAUAAUUAUCAUUGAUUUUUGUGUUUAUUAUAUGCACUUGUAUGAUUAACAAUGCGAAAGAUUCAGGAUACCUUCGGGACCCGUCUUGAAACACGGACCAAGGAGUCUAACAUAUGUGCAAGUUAUUGGGAUAUAAACCUAAUAGCGUAAUUAACUUGACUAAUAAUGGGAUUAGUUUUUUAGCUAUUUAUAGCUAAUUAACACAAUCCCGGGGCGUUCUAUAUAGUUAUGUAUAAUGUAUAUUUAUAUUAUUUAUGCCUCUAACUGGAACGUACCUUGAGCAUAUAUGCUGUGACCCGAAAGAUGGUGAACUAUACUUGAUCAGGUUGAAGUCAGGGGAAACCCUGAUGGAAGACCGAAACAGUUCUGACGUGCAAAUCGAUUGUCAGAAUUGAGUAUAGGGGCGAAAGACCAAUCGAACCAUCUAGUAGCUGGUUCCUUCCGAAGUUUCCCUCAGGAUAGCUGGUGCAUUUUAAUAUUAUAUAAAAUAAUCUUAUCUGGUAAAGCGAAUGAUUAGAGGCCUUAGGGUCGAAACGAUCUUAACCUAUUCUCAAACUUUAAAUGGGUAAGAACCUUAACUUUCUUGAUAUGAAGUUCAAGGUUAUGAUAUAAUGUGCCCAGUGGGCCACUUUUGGUAAGCAGAACUGGCGCUGUGGGAUGAACCAAACGUAAUGUUACGGUGCCCAAAUUAACAACUCAUGCAGAUACCAUGAAAGGCGUUGGUUGCUUAAAACAGCAGGACGGUGAUCAUGGAAGUCGAAAUCCGCUAAGGAGUGUGUAACAACUCACCUGCCGAAGCAACUAGCCCUUAAAAUGGAUGGCGCUUAAGUUGUAUACCUAUACAUUACCGCUAAAGUAGAUGAUUUAUAUUACUUGUGAUAUAAAUUUUGAAACUUUAGUGAGUAGGAAGGUACAAUGGUAUGCGUAGAAGUGUUUGGCGUAAGCCUGCAUGGAGCUGCCAUUGGUACAGAUCUUGGUGGUAGUAGCAAAUAAUCGAAUGAGACCUUGGAGGACUGAAGUGGAGAAGGGUUUCGUGUGAACAGUGGUUGAUCACGAGUUAGUCGGUCCUAAGUUCAAGGCGAAAGCCGAAAAUUUUCAAGUAAAACAAAAAUGCCUAACUAUAUAAACAAAGCGAAUUAUAAUACACUUGAAUAAUUUUGAACGAAAGGGAAUACGGUUCCAAUUCCGUAACCUGUUGAGUAUCCGUUUGUUAUUAAAUAUGGGCCUCGUGCUCAUCCUGGCAACAGGAACGACCAUAAAGAAGCCGUCGAGAGAUAUCGGAAGAGUUUUCUUUUCUGUUUUAUAGCCGUACUACCAUGGAAGUCUUUCGCAGAGAGAUAUGGUAGAUGGGCUAGAAGAGCAUGACAUAUACUGUUGUGUCGAUAUUUUCUCCUCGGACCUUGAAAAUUUAUGGUGGGGACACGCAAACUUCUCAACAGGCCGUACCAAUAUCCGCAGCUGGUCUCCAAGGUGAAGAGUCUCUAGUCGAUAGAAUAAUGUAGGUAAGGGAAGUCGGCAAAUUAGAUCCGUAACUUCGGGAUAAGGAUUGGCUCUGAAGAUUGAGAUAGUCGGGCUUGAUUGGGAAACAAUAACAUGGUUUAUGUGCUCGUUCUGGGUAAAUAGAGUUUCUAGCAUUUAUGUUAGUUACUUGUUCCCCGGAUAGUUUAGUUACGUAGCCAAUUGUGGAACUUUCUUGCUAAAAUUUUUAAGAAUACUAUUUGGGUUAAACCAAUUAGUUCUUAUUAAUUAUAACGAUUAUCAAUUAACAAUCAAUUCAGAACUGGCACGGACUUGGGGAAUCCGACUGUCUAAUUAAAACAAAGCAUUGUGAUGGCCCUAGCGGGUGUUGACACAAUGUGAUUUCUGCCCAGUGCUCUGAAUGUCAAAGUGAAGAAAUUCAAGUAAGCGCGGGUCAACGGCGGGAGUAACUAUGACUCUCUUAAGGUAGCCAAAUGCCUCGUCAUCUAAUUAGUGACGCGCAUGAAUGGAUUAACGAGAUUCCUACUGUCCCUAUCUACUAUCUAGCGAAACCACAGCCAAGGGAACGGGCUUGGAAUAAUUAGCGGGGAAAGAAGACCCUUUUGAGCUUGACUCUAAUCUGGCA